AAAGACUAAGCACUGGUGGCCAGCAGUGGUGAACACAGAGCCAAGGUUCCUCCAGACAUUUCUCUGGCUACCAGCUGAGCUCUCCAGGCUCUUGUGUUUUCCCUCAUGUGUGUUUUCAUAUUAAGGAUGAGACAUGAGUAUGAAAAGAAGCCAUUCUUCUAUACAACCUAAAUGGAAAGAUGCUACAAGUGAUUUCAGUCAAGCAGUGUGCAUGGAAGAUGCUUCAAAAGAUGAGAAAGAAUCACAAACAAGAAGAAAUCUAGUUUGUUCUC
rnacentral:lncRNA from 1 species